rnacentral:rRNA from 1 species
GACGAACGCUGGCGGCAUGCCUAAUACAUGCAAGUCGAGCGAACAGAUGAAGUGCUUGCACUUCUGACGUUAGCGGCGAACGGGUGAGUAACACGUAAGGAAUCUACCUAUAAGCGGGGGAUAACAUUCGGAAACGGGUGCUAAUACCGCAUAAUAUCUUCUUCCGCAUGGAAGAAGAUCGAAAGACGGCUCUGCUGUCACUUAUAGAUGACCUUGCGGUGCAUUAGUUAGUUGGUGGGGUAACGGCCCACCAAGACGAUGAUGCAUAGCCGACCUGAGAGGGUGAUCGGCCACAUUGGGACUGAGACACGGCCCAAACUCCUACGGGAGGCAGCAGUAGGGAAUCUUCCGCAAUGGGCGAAAGCCUGACGGAGCAAUGCCGCGUGAGUGAAGAAGGCCUUCGGGUCGUAAAACUCUGUUAUAAGAGAAGAACAAAUUGUAGAGUAACUGCUACAGUCUUGACGGUAUCUUAUCAGAAAGCCACGGCUAACUACGUGCCAGCCGCCGCCGUAA